GGCGGGUCCCUCCGCAUUGCAAGACGGCUGACCGGGUCAGGUUCGGAAGAAAGCAGCCCACGCCGUUGUCGCAAGUGCCGGAGUCAGGCUCGCCAAC
rnacentral:SRP_RNA from 1 species